rnacentral:rRNA from 1 species
GACGAACGCUGGCGGCGUGCUUAACACAUGCAAGUCGAACGGAAAGGCCUCUUUCGGGGGGUACUCGAGUGGCGAACGGGUGAGUAACACGUGAGUAACCUGCCCUUGACUUUGGGAUAACUUCAGGAAACUGGGGCUAAUACCGGAUAGGAGAUCCUGCUGCAUGGUGGGGGUUGGAAAGUUUCGGCGGUUGGGGAUGGACUCGCGGCUUAUCAGCUUGUUGGUGGGGUAGUGGCUUACCAAGGCUUUGACGGGUAGCCGGCCUGAGAGGGUGACCGGCCACAUUGGGACUGAGAUACGGCCCAGACUCCUACGGGAGGCAGCAGGGGGGAAUAUUGCACAAGGGGUGGAAGCCUGAUGCAGCAACGCCGUGUGCGGGAUGACGGCCUUCGGGUUGUAAACCGCUUUCGCUCAUGACGAAGCUUUGUGUGACGGUAGUGGGUAAAGAAGCACCGGCUAACUACGUG